UACGUAGGGUGCGAGCGUUGUCCGGAAUUACUGGGCGUAAAGAGCUCGUAGGUGGUUUGUCGCGUUGUUCGUGAAAACCUGAGGCUUAACCUUGGGCGUGCGGGCGAUACGGGCAGACUGGAGUACUGCAGGGGAGACUGGAAUUCCUGGUGUAGCGGUGGAAUGCGCAGAUAUCAGGAGGAACACCUGUGGCGAAGGCGGGACUCUGGGCCGAUACUGACGCUGAGGAGCGAAAGCGUGGGGAGCAAACAGG
rnacentral:rRNA from 1 species